GGCUUUAUAGUUUAGUUAGAAUUUUGAAUUGCAAAUUCAAGGGAAUAUUGUUUAUUAAAGCUU
rnacentral:tRNA from 1 species